CCGCUCAGAUUGAACGCUGGCGGCAGGCUUAACACAUGCAAGUCGAGCGGGGGAAGGUAGCUUGCUACCGGACCUAGCGGCGGACGGGUGAGUAAUGCUUAGGAAUCUGCCUAUUAGUGGGGGACAACAUCUCGAAAGGGAUGCUAAUACCGCAUACGUCCUACGGGAGAAAGCAGGGGAUCUUCGGACCUUGCGCUAAUAGAUGAGCCUAAGUCGGAUUAGCUAGUUGGUGGGGUAAAGGCCUACCAAGGCGACGAUCUGUAGCGGGUCUGAGAGGAUGAUCCGCCACACUGGGACUGAGACACGGCCCAGACUCCUACGGGAGGCAGCAGUGGGGAAUAUUGGACAAUGGGCGCAAGCCUGAUCCAGCCAUGCCGCGUGUGUGAAGAAGGCCUUAUGGUUGUAAAGCACUUUAAGCGAGGAGGAGGCUACUUUAGAUAAUACCUAGAGAUAGUGGACGUUACUCGCAGAAUAAGCACCGGCUAACUCUGUGCCAGCAGCCGCGGUAAUACAGAGGGUGCAAGCGUUAAUCGGAUUUACUGGGCGUAAAGCGCGCGUAGGCGGCUAAUUAAGUCAAAUGUGAAAUCCCCGAGCUUAACUUGGGAAUUGCAUUCGAUACUGGUUAGCUAGAGUGUGGGAGAGGAUGGUAGAAUUCCAGGUGUAGCGGUGAAAUGCGUAGAGAUCUGGAGGAAUACCGAUGGCGAAGGCAGCCAUCUGGCCUAACACUGACGCUG
rnacentral:rRNA from 1 species